rnacentral:lncRNA from 1 species
UGUGUGGAUAUUUUUUUUCUUCCCUGAAUUGCUUAAGAUGAAGAAACUGAGGACAUUUGAUGCCCAUGAAAACUCUUUACCGAGCCACUUAGUUUGAGCAAGACACAAUGGGUUCUCUUUUCUUCUGCUUGUCUACCAUACUUCUCCCAUAGCCCUCCCCUCUUUGUCACCAGUUCCCCAAAUACCAAGUCUUGCAAUUGGUCAAAAGCCUGGUCUCUGUUUCUUGAGGAGGACCUGAGGUCUGCCGUUAGGACUCUCCAGCAAGAAGAAAGAGAAGUUCUGGGGAAGAUGAGAAUCCUUUUCAGGUCACAGAAUCUGGAAUCCCAGU